UUGGCGCUGGCGAUCCCGGCACGCGGGGUAAUGGGGUUCAGGCAGCGGGGUCCUGGGGCUGAGGAAAGGGUCGAGGUGGACCUGGAGGCCAUGGAGUUGCUUUCCCAGGCGCUGCCUCAGGUUCUUCUUUGGAGAAAGUGGGGUCCUCGAAGCAUAGGGUGAGGAGCUUCCCAGUAAAGACCGAGACGGGCUGCGCCACCCGUGUGCCGGGAAGAGUGCGUGGCCAGGGUGGGCCUGACUCGGACUCUUGGGCCGACGAGAGGUGGGCACCGAGCAAGGCGCCUGAAGAACGUAUCCUUGUUAUUGCUGUUUUACAGAAGAAGAGACUAAGGCUGCAGACUGCUGACAGUCCCUCAGCGUCAAGCCCAGGGAGACACUUCUGUGAGCCAGCAGGGUGUGCUGUUCAUCUCCAGUGGGAGUUUCAGCUGCUUCCUUCCUUGGGCCCUCACCACCACUGCUACUGACCUGUCACUUCUGCCUCCUGGUCAGAACACACCAUCUCUCCCUUGUCAAUCACAGACAGCAUCAAGACAGCACUUGGCAUCCUUUCAGCUAUCUGCAAGCCUUGCAGGGUAAGGAGUACAAUACUAAGUAUCUCAGAACCCAGGACUCUGUUGUGGCAUCCUGUAGGAGCUGCACCAGGGACCACCACAGUGAACGAUCACAGGAUAUCCAUGCCUCUACGCUCUGUUCUCUUUAGAGAUGAUAUUUAUACUACAAACUGAAAUGCCACAACCAAAAAGGGUAGGAGCCAAGAAUGAGGUUGCUGGAUCAGUGUUAGAGAUGACAUCCUAGAGAUGUUUUCAGGGUCGUCAAUCACACCGAAGACCUACCACAUGCCAGGCACAUGUGUACCUCCUCUAAUGUCCACAAUGACUAGAAAGAAAUUUUAUCCCUACUUUACAAAGAUGGGAAAAGGAGGCCUAAGAGGGGUGAAGCUCCCCAGUUUGGGUUGUUUUCCUAUUUUGCUUCUUGAUCAAUUUCUCAUCCAUUUGAACUGCACUUGCUUGAUUCAAAAGUCACCACAGAAUGAACUAGGACUGGAAUCCAUUAGUGCCCAUGCCCUCCCCAACACUCCAACUGCCUCCCUCCACAGGUUGCUCCCAAGCCAGAGGUGGCAGAAGAGAAUUCCAGAGAGGUUAGUGGUGUGUGUGAGGGCCCCUAAGGCAGGUCUACAGGCAGGCCAGCCUGCCAGCCUCACAGGCACACCUAGGAACAUUUGCACUGGUGAAAGUCUGUCUCAGGGCCUGCCAAGGGCACCUGCCGCAGGCAACACCUAAAGCUCUUCAUACCUUAAGAGAAAGUAAAUUCCAAGAUAUGAGUGGAAGACAUCUCAACUUGCAUUUCCCAGCAAGAUACCUGCCACUGCAGUCCCUUCUCCCUUUGUAGAGGAUAUUGGGUACUUUCUCUGCCAUUCUCUCCACCUAGCAAGAGUGACUCUUCCAUUCAUUACCACAAGAGGAAAAGUUUGAAUAGUAGCACACAGCUGCUUAUGACCACAGAUGAAAACACUCUCGAUUGAUACAUUUUCCCCAUCUGCUUUAUUAUUUUUUUGAGACACAGUCUCACUCUGUCAC